AUAGCGUAUAUUAACGUUGUUGCAGUUAAAAAGCUCGUAGUUGAAGUGUGGGUGAUCGCUGUUGUGAGACUUCGGUCUCUCGAYAGUAAGUCACCCCCUUCCAGUAUCCAGUAGUGGGUAUUCACUUACUUACUAYUGUGUGUUGGUCCUUUACUGUGAGAAAAUUAGAGUGUUCAAAGCAGGCGUUUGCUUGAAUAGAUUAGCAUGGAAUAAUAAUUGAAGGCUUUCGUGUUCGAUUUGAUUGGUUUGUUCAUGGAAGCAAGGUUAAAAGGAACAGUUGGGGGUAUUCAUAUUCACUAGUUAGAGGUGAAAUUCUCGGAUUUAUGGAAGAUGAACAAGUGCGAAAGCAUUUACCAAGGAUGUUUUCAUUAAUCAAGAACGAAAGCUAGGGGAUCGAAGAGGAUUAGAUACCCUCGUAGUCUUAGCUAUAAACGAUACCGACUAGGGGUUAGUAGAGGUCAAAGUGUCUUUAUUAGUACCUUAUGAGAAAUCAAAGUCUUUGGGUUCCGGGGGGAGUAUGGUCGCAAGGAUGAAACUUAA
rnacentral:rRNA from 1 species